UGGGCAGAGGUCCGCUGGAUAGGACGUUUAGUUGUUAACUAGAGUUUUGUGGGAUCGAGGCCCAUUUGUCCAGG
rnacentral:tRNA from 1 species